rnacentral:misc_RNA from 1 species
CUGGGGUCUCCGCUCGAACAGUGUAUCAUUCAAUGUAGAACAUCGAGAUUCGGGUAACACUUGAAGCAACAAUGGAUGAAAACACGACAGACCUGUUCAAUAUCAGUUCCUUGCUCCGAAUGAGGGAUGUGGCUACUACAGUCUCAGCUGUGAUAGCAGUUAGAAAUACUAGCGUCGCGAGUACCAGUACCGCGUACGAGUGGCGAUUCAUACUCCCGCCCUACUUCCUAAUAUUCUUACUGUCGAUAUCAGGAAACUGCAUGGUGAUCGCAACCCUAGCUAGCAACAGAAGAAUGAGAACAGUCACUAACGUUUAUUUAUUGAAUUUGGCAAUAUCAGAUUUCCUCUUGGGGGUGUUUUGUCUACCCUUCACAAUUGUUGGACAAGUUUACAGAAGAUUCCUGUUUGGUGCAGCGUUAUGUAAACUUAUACCAUUUGUACAGGCCGUCUCAGUAUCAGUGGACGUGUGGACCCUGGUAGCUAUUUCCCUGGAGCGCUACUUUGCGAUCUGCAGACCUUUGAAGUCCAGAAAAUGGCAGACGCAAUGCCACGCCUACAAGAUGAUAGCGACCGUAUGGCUGAUCUCCAUAGUCCUCAACUCGCCUAUCCUGAUUGUGUCUACGCUACAACCGAUGAGGGGGAACGCCUUCAAGUGCAGAGAAGUCUGGUCGAGUUUAGAGCUGGAGCGGACCUUCAACUUGGGUCUGGAUGGCGCGUUGCUCCUCAUCCCAUUCUUCAUCAUGUCCUUUGCUUACUCUCUAAUCGUCACCAAGCUCUGGAGAGGCAUGCGGCAUGAGAUCCAGCAUAAUUACAACAGGCAGCAAUUAACAAGACAAGCGAGCUGUAAAAGUAACCACAUGAUACCUACUACGCCGAUACUCCAGUCAAACUCCACCGAACUUUGCUGCAAAAACAAUUGGACGACCAAGAAAUUAUUAAAGACUGAUAUAGAGCCAAGACUCGACCCAGACAGAAGCCCUCAGAGCUGCUGCAUGCACACGGACCUGGAGUUUCGCCAUGUUGUCCGUUCUACCCACAUCGACAAAAGCAUAGAAGCGAAAAGAAAAGUCAUAAGAAUGCUGUUCGUCAUCAUAUUGGAAUUCUUCGUCUGUUGGACUCCCCUUCAUGUUAUAAAUACGAUAUACCUAUUCUACCCGGAGGAGCUGUAUCAGUACGUGGGACCAAAGGGCAUCAUAUCCCUGCAACUGUUAGCUUACUGCUCUUCGUGCUGCAAUCCCAUCACCUAUUGCUUCAUGAACCGCAAGUUCAGGCAAGCGUUCAUCACGCUCAUCAAGUCCUGUAGACUGUUCAGAAAAUGUUUCGCGGAGAAGCUGGAGUGCAAGCAAGUGACCCUCCCGCCUUCGAGCCAGGACGUCAGUGCCUGCAUCAUCCGAGAGUUGGACGGGCUGGAAGGGGAGGAUUGUGUUUAGCAGCGGCUCACAAAGCACUACGCUGGCAAGCGGCACACACUCGGCUCUGCCCACCACCGUUGUCGGAAGACACGGUACACAGGUCAUCGAGACAGGGGAAGAAGGCAGCCAAUUCCUAUAUCGAAUCACAUGGGCGAGAACGGGACAAUCGCGAGUUGUCGCUCCGACACAGCCGUUAUAUGAGUAAUCAAUCUAUCUGAAUAUCUCGUGGA